AUUGAACGCUGGCGGCAGGCCUAACACAUGCAAGUCGAGCGGAUGAAGGGAGCUUGCUCCUGGAUUCAGCGGCGGACGGGUGAGUAAUGCCUAGGAAUCUGCCUGGUAGUGGGGGAUAACGUCCGGAAACGGGCGCUAAUACCGCAUACGUCCUGAUGGAGAAAGUGGGGGAUCUUCGGACCUCACGCUAUCAGAUGAGCCUAGGUCGGAUUAGCUAGUUGGUGGGGUAAAGGCCUACCAAGGCGACGAUCCGUAACUGGUCUGAGAGGAUGAUCAGUCACACUGGAACUGAGACACGGUCCAGACGCCUACGGGAGGCAGCAGUGGGGAAUAUUGGACAAUGGGCGAAAGCCUGAUCCAGCCAGGCCGAGUGUGUGAAGAAGGUCUUCGGAUUGUAAAGCACGUUAAGUUGGGAGGAAGGGCAGUAAGUUAAUACCUUGCUGUUUUGACGUUACCAACAGAAUAAGCACCGGCUAACUUCGUG
rnacentral:rRNA from 1 species